rnacentral:misc_RNA from 1 species
GAAAUGCGAUAAGUAAUGUGAAUUGCAGAAUUCAGUGAAUCAUCGAAUCUUUGAACGCACAUUGCGCCCGCCAGUAUUCUGGCGGGCAUGCCUGUCCGAGCGUCAUUUCAACCAUCAAGCCCCCGGGCUUGUGUUGGGGACCUGCGGCUGCCCGCAGGCCCUGAAAACCAGUGGCGGGCUCGCUGUCACACCGAGCGUAGUAGCAAUCACCUCGCUCAGGGCGUGCUGCGGGUUCCGGCCGUUAAACAGCCUUACAAAACCCAAGGUUGACCACGGAUCAGGUAGGAAGACCCGCUGAACUUAAGC